rnacentral:misc_RNA from 1 species
GGAAGGAUCAUUCGUAUUCUUCAAACAAUCUCUUCAGCUGGUGUGAUUCACUUCUUAAAUUCUUACUAAACAAAUUUAUACUUUCAACGAUGGAUGUCUCGGGUUUCUCAACGAAGAAGAGCGCAGCAAACUGCGAUAAGCAGAAUGACAAGCACUCACAUGAAUCAUCAGAUUCUUGAACGCAAAUGGCAGUUGUUUGGUUCUCCAACGACUAUGUUUGCUUCAGUGUCAUAUAAAGACAUUUCUCUUCUAGUAAGAGAGUGAUUGACAAGUACAUCUAGUAUUUGUUUGAAGUUUAAUUGUUCAUCGACAAGAUGCAUUCGGAACAUCCCGCUCUGGAUCUCGUUGACUUCAAUCUCUUCUCCUUUUGACCUGAAGUCAAGCAAGGCUACCCGCUGAAUUUAAGCAUAUAAUUAAGCGGAGGAAAAGAAACUAACUAGGAUUCCCUUAGUAGUGGCGAACGAAGUGGGAAUAGCCCAAACCGUUAAUCGAUUGUCUCUGACAUUCGAAUUGAGGUUUGCUGAGAUACCAGAAGAGUACCAGGGUGAAGCCUCGUGGAUGCGAGCGUCAUAGAGGGUGAGGACCCCGUCCUUACUCUGAGUACUACUUCGUACGGUACUCAGCUAAUGAGUCGUGUUCCUUGGGAGUGGAGCGCAAAUUGGGUGGUAGCUUUCAUCCACGGCUAAAUACUGGAGAAACACCGAUAGUGAAGAAGUACCGUGAGGGAAAGAUGAAAAGAGCCUCGAGAGGGGUCUUAAAAUUGCCUGAAACCGUUGAAAGGGAAGCGAUUGGAGAUUUAUUGCUAGUGUUAUGACAGAUUUCUUCAAUUCUCAAUGACAUUGCGCAAGCAUGGCUUGAGGAAAGUAGAUGUCUAUUAUGACAUGCGAGCCGGUUGGGUCUGAAUCUGUUGCGGACACUGAAGUUGUGCUUUGAUUUAUCUUAGUUGCUUUAAUGUUCAGCGCAGUUUUGGGCGAGUAAUGUAGCCGUCGCAAAGAUCUUCAAACGACCCGUCUUGAAACACGGACCAAGGAGUCUAACUUACGUGCAAGUCCUAAGGUGGUAAACCUCAAGGCAGAAUGAAAGUGAUAGUUUCGAUAUUUGCAGAAACGACCGACUUCCGCAAGGAGGUUUGUGUGUGAGCAUGUAGGUUCGGACCCGAAAGAUGGUGAACUAUGCCUGAAUAGGGUGAAGCCAGGGGAAACCCUGGUGGCGGCUCGUAGCGAUACUGACGUGCAAAUCGUUCGUCAAAUUUGGGUAUAGGGGCGAAAGACUAAUCGAACCAUCUAGUAGCUGGUUCCCUC